rnacentral:SRP_RNA from 2 species
GCCGGGCGUGGUGGCGGGUGCCUGUAGUCCCAGCUACUCGGGAGGCUGAGGCAGGAGAAUCGCUUGAACCCAGGAGGCAGAGGUUGCAGUGAGCCAAGAUCAUGCCACUGCACUCCAGCCUGGGUGACAGAGCGAGACUCUGUCUCGA